GUAGCUUGCUACUUUGCCGGCGAGCGGCGGACGGGUGAGUAAUGUCUGGGAAACUGCCCGAUGGAGGGGGAUAACCACUGGAAACGGUGGCUAAUACCGCAUAACGUCUUCGGACCAAAGUGGGGGACCUUCGGGCCUCACACCAUCGGAUGUGCCCAGAUGGGAUUAGCUAGUAGGUGGGGUAAUGGCUCACCUAGGCGACGAUCCCUAGCUGGUCUGAGAGGAUGACCAGCCACACUGGAACUGAGACACGGUCCAGACUCCUACGGGAGGCAGCAGUGGGGAAUAUUGCACAAUGGGCGCAAGCCUGAUGCAGCCAUGCCGCGUGUGUGAAGAAGGCCUUCGGGUUGUAAAGCACUUUCAGCGAGGAGGAAGGGUAGUGUCUUAAUACGGCAUUACAUUGACGUUACUCGCAGAAGAAGCACCGGCUAACUCCGUGCCAGCAGCCGCGGUAAUACGGAGGGUGCAAGCGUUAAUCGGAAUUACUGGGCGUAAAGCGCACGCAGGCGGUUUGUUAAGUCAGAUGUGAAAUCCCCGAGCUUAACUUGGGAACUGCAUUUGAAACUGGCAGACUAGAGUCUCGUAGAGGGGGGUAGAAUUCCAGGUGUAGCGGUGAAAUGCGUAGAGAUCUGGAGGAAUACCGGUGGCGAAGGCGGCCCCCUGGACGAAGACUGACGCUCAGGUGCGAAAGCGUGGGGAGCAAACAGGAUUAGAUAGCUGGUGUAUAGUUCUCA
rnacentral:rRNA from 1 species